UUCCCUGAGGCUGGACUCAACGGGUCUCGGCUGAGCCACCGGGUGAGCUUACUGCCCAGCUCAAACCAGGAGAUUGCGAGGGAGCGAUGCGGUGCCGCGCGAUUUGCUUGUAAAUGCAUCACGAAGAGGCAGCCCAGAAUGAAGAAAGCAAGCAGGAGUGUUGGCUCAGUGCCUAAAGUGUCUGCAAUAAGUAAAACGCAAACAGCAGAAAAAGUUAAACCUGAAAACAGCUCUUCAGCAUCUACAGGAGGCAAACUUGUAAAACCUGGAACAGCAGCAUCAUUGUCAAAGACCAAGAGCAGUGAUGACCUUUUAGCUGGAAUGGCCGGAGGGGUAACGGUGACUAAUGGUGUUAAAGGAAAGAAAAGCACCUGCCCAUCUGCAGCACCUUCAGCAUCUGCCCCUGCCAUGACCACCGUGGAGAACAAAUCCAAGAUUAGCACAGGCACAGCUUCUUCAACCAAGCGGAGCACUUCUACAGGUAGAGGAUGAAUACCGAGCCUUCCAAGAAGAAGCUAAGAAACAAAUUGAAGAUUUGAAUAUGACGUUAGAAAAAUUAAGAUCAG
rnacentral:sRNA from 1 species